CCGAGGCUGCCGUGGCCGCGCACACCACCCGCCACGCACCGCACACUGCCACUACCGCCUCAGAGGCCACCAUGGCCGCGUGCUCCACACCCGCACCACUGCCCGCCCACGCAGCCACCUUGCUUUCUGCUUUCUUCACUCCUCCCUCCCUCAGCAUAUGCAAAUUAACCGCCAUCUUGUUCGCUCUGAUUGGCUGUGGGCAUAGUAAAGGCAGCCCACUUGCAUAAUGACUGAGAUGAAUAGGCUGAUUUAAUGCUUUAAGGCAUUUUGUUAGGCAACAAGAAAAAAAUGGGUCAAAGGAGAAGAGAUUUCAUUAUAAAAGUAAAUAUAAGAAGGAGGAAGAGGAAGAAGAGCAGAAGAGGAAGAAGAAGUAGUAGGAUGAGUAAAUAUAAGACAUAUUCGAGAAAGCACAUUUUAACCUGGCUGAGAGUUGUAUGCUCCUGGACAUGGAAUGCAGUCCAUCCUCCUUUUCCCAGAACUGCCUAUCAUCAUGGAAAGAUUAACAACCUUGUUGUGGAAACGAUCUGGUUCUGAGGCACCCGCCCUUUGUGACUCCUCCAUUCCCCAGCCCACAUUGCCUGUAACCUGUAACCAUAUACCUUGCCCAUUUCCCCAUGCCUGUAAUUCCUACUUCCCCACGUAAUUUUUGUCCUUCUACCCAAUAUAAGCAGCUGGGUUAUGGAGAGGGGUAGAGCAGAUUUGUGGAUAACCUUUUGCUCUCCUUUCUGCUGGCAUUGUUGGAAUAAACACUCAUAAAUGAUUCAACCCUGCCUAUGCUUACUUGGCUCAAGUAGUGACAGGCAGCCCAGACCCAUUGGUUGUCUGAUUUUAUAACUAGAUAUCACUGCCAGAUUCAUGUGUUCUCUGCUCUCAUCGAUGAUAAGGGAUACCAAUAUGACCCCUAAAAUAUAUCCCUGUUUGUUACAGAAAAUUUUAAGUGAAGGAAAAACAUAAACAUUCAAACUUGUCCAAACAUCUGGAUUACAUGCCCUGACAAGGGACAAGCCUUACUCAUAAAGUUUCCUUGGGGACAGGGUUAGGGAAAGCAGUUUAUUUUACCUGAAGCUGCUCGUGUGACUGUAAUCAAAGAAGCACUGAGAGCCAAUGCGCGAGCAGGAAACUGAGACCUAUGAGCCAGAGAAAAGAAGUUCUCAAAGGUGAUCAAAAUGAAGGGCUUCUAGAAGCAGGUGUGGAGCUAAGUUUAGCAAGCUGGGGAGGUAAGAGCAGAUAACUGAGGAGCAAAAGAGUGAAUAAGGAGAAAUCUGUGUAAAGACCCAAACAGCACUAUUUUUUACAGCUUAAUUUGAGGCCCGUUGCAGUAGUGUGAUGCACAGAGCCUUUAAAAGGCCUUGAAUAGAAUAUAGAGCCAAAAACACUUCUAGUUGUUAUAGCAUUCCAAAUAAGGCAAGGAUUGUAAAGAAAUAAG